UUAAAUUCUUUGAACUUACAA
rnacentral:piRNA from 1 species